rnacentral:rRNA from 1 species
GACGAACGCUGGCGGCGUGCCUAAUACAUGCAAGUCGAGCGAAUGGAUUAAGAGCUUGCUCUUAUGAAGUUAGCGGCGGACGGGUGAGUAACACGUGGGUAACCUGCCCAUAAGACUGGGAUAACUCCGGGAAACCGGGGCUAAUACCGGAUAACAUUUUGAACCGCAUGGUUCGAAAUUGAAAGGCGGCUUCGGCUGUCACUUAUGGAUGGACCCGGGUCGCAUUAGCUAGUUGGUGAGGUAACGGCUCACCAAGGCAACGAUGCGUAGCCGACCUGAGAGGGUGAUCGGCCACACUGGGACUGAGACACGGCCCAGACUCCUACGGGAGGCAGCAGUAGGGAAUCUUCCGGAAUGGACGAAAGUCUGACGGAGCAACGCCGCGUGAGUGAUGAAGGCUUUCGGGUCGUAAAACUCUGUUGUUAGGGAAGAACAAGUGCUAGUUGAAUAAGCUGGCACCUUGACGGUACCUAACCAGAAAGCCACGGCUAACUACGUGCCAGCAGCCGCAGUAA